UACGUAGGGUGCAAGCGUUAAUCGGAAUUACUGGGCGUAAAGCGUGCGCAGGCGGUUGUGCAAGACCGAUGUGAAAUCCCCGGGCUCAACCUGGGAAUGGCAUUGGUGACUGUACGGCUAGAGUGUGUCAGAGGGGGGUAGAAUUCCACGUGUAGCAGUGAAAUGCGUAGAUAUGCGGAGGAACACCGAUGGCGAAGGCAAUCCCCUGGGCCUGUACUGACGCUGAGGAGCGAAAGCGCGGGGAGCAAACAGG
rnacentral:rRNA from 1 species